UACGUAUGGUGCAAGCGUUAUCCGGAUUUACUGGGCGUAAAGGGAGCGUAGACGGAGGUGCAAGUCUGAAGUGAAAGCCCGGGGCCCAACCCCGGGACUGCUUUGGAAACUGUCCGUCUGGAGUGCCGGAGAGGUAAGCGGAAUUCCCAGUGUAGCGGUGAAAUGCGUAGAUAUUGGGAGGAACACCAGUGGCGAAGGCGGCUUACUGGACGGUCGCUGACGUUGAGGCUCGAAAGCGUGGGGAGCAAACAGG
rnacentral:rRNA from 1 species